GUCGCAGUCCGCGCAUGCGCGUCGGCGGGGCGCCCAGCGCCCCGCGGCAGGCUCCGCUCCCAGAAGCGAGCGUUGCAAACUGUUGCAUCAGACGGCAAGCAGCCGCCCGGCCGCCAGGGUUUCUAGGAAGAUAGGAAGGGUUUGAGAUCCUCUGUGGUCGAAUGGGAGCGUUGGCUGUCACUCACGGUGUUUACACGCUGGUAACACAAUCCCCUGAAACCUCAAGCUUGCGCCAGUCCGGGGAGGGCCUUAGCCACAGGUGAAAUUCUCUGAACUCCGCCGCUUCUGCCCCCACCCCACCGCCCCAGGCUGGACCAAGUGAAUUGGACUCGGUCUGCUUUAUUAAUGGCAUGGGCCCUAAAGGAAUGAGCUGGGUUUGAUUUCUCUUCCCAAGUACAAGAAUGCCCCUGAGGAAUUUCUCACUCUGUGAAAGCGCAAAACUAAUUUCCCCAGACAGGCGCUGUUGCCGGUUCCCAAAAGGGCUUGGAAAGAUCCCAGCAGGAAUGCUCAGUGGUUCCAAAUCUCUUCACCCGAGCCGCUGGAUAUGCAGACACUGACCACCAAGAACUUCUUGGUAGGUGGACACACGUCCUUCCCAGACAGGCCUUCUUUUUAGAGUAUCUCAGGCCCCCAUGUUAUGGAGCUUUUGGAAUCAGCCAGAGAAUGCACAACCACGAACUCAUACAGACACAGCACAAAUGUUAACAGUUCUCUAGAUUCAAGUGGCUCUGCAACUCAGUUUGACAGGGUCCAUUGGGUGCCAAGCACGAUGACAGAAAAAGACCCCACUGAGGCAUAUCGCUGUGAAAUUUUAGAACCCUAGAGAUGAAGAAAAAAAAUCCUAAAAACUUCUCAAGACACAAGGGCCUCAAGUACAAUGCUGGAAAGAAGAAUUGAUGCAGACAUUUUUGUCUUGUUCCUGAUUUUUAAAGGCCUUCUAACAUUUCACCUUGAAGAAUGAUGUUUGAAGAAUGACGUUUGCUGUAAUUAUUUGGUUAAAAAAAACUCUAUCAGAGCCUGCCCUACCCAGAGCCCAGAGUCCCCUGAGUCUUGUCCCAUCUGAGUGUUCAUCCACACUCUUCCUCACACGUUGGAAACUCUAAGUAGGCUUCAUUCAUUAAAGUUUCCAGAGGCCAGUUUGGUCAGUCUGUGCUUGGUGACUGCUGGUUUGAUGAAUGAAUGCAAGCAUGCAGAGAUGGCCCCUGAGAGCCCAGGUGCAACCACUCUCCAGUCGGGCCAAUUGGUCACAUAAUCAAUGGCUGGACACGAUGUUUGAAACCAGGAGAACCCACCUCCAGGUGAAAUGACAGCAUGGAGCUGUCAUGGAAGAGGAGUCCCAUGACAACGGGAAUUUUUCUGUUCUACCCCUGCUUCAUCCCCAGUGACUAACGGCAUCUGACUCAUGGAAGGCCCUCAACGGAGGUUCACACAGGAAUGAGUGAGCUUGGUUGCAUAAAAAACCUCAAGUCUCAAAAACUCUGCUUGUCUGGCAGCAGAUCUGGUAUUUUAUAAAUGUCCCACUCUCCCACACUAAAUAAGAUGGUCCUGGUCAUCCCUUAUCACCAUUGCCCUUAGGUGGAGGGGGACACUCAGUCGUGUCCCCGAGACCACAGCCCUCCAAUCCAGGUCGUCCGGCAGCCUCCAAGAGCUCCUCCUGCCAUGGAACCUGUGCCUGCAGUCCUCCCUCUCCCCCAGUGCUGCCUCCUCUUUGAGGUAUCACGUUACUGCUGGUCCUGCCAGGACUGGAGGCUCACCCCUUGGCCAGCAGCCCACCUUAAGUUGCCUUGUGUAAACCUCUGUCCAUUUGCAUGCACAGCGAGGCAGCCAUGCUUUUGCCAAGUUCUGUCAGGGAGUGUUCUGUGCCAAAGGUGCCCGGGCCCCAACACUUUAUAGCCCUCUCCCCGCACCCCCACAAGAGACAUGUGGCAAAGCAUCUCCAUCCAGCCUCAGGGCAUGCUGGGUACGGGGGUAUCCUUUGUGCCUGCAACCUCCUUUUCUCCAAGCCCAGGCCCUGCCGCUGGACCGAUUCGGCCUGAGAGAUCCCCUCUGUCCUCCAGCAGUAAGUUGAGGAGUGGGGAGGGCACAUAGCGGAAUCCGAAUUAGCAACUGUGGAGAGUGAAAGGGGGGAGUGAGAGAGGCAGCAGAGGCCCCACCCCCUUCCCUGAGGAGGCCCGCCCACAGUGGGCGGAUCCCUCCCUGCCUACUCCCUUCUCAGGGUUUUUCCUGCAUACUGGACUGAGUUUUGUUGGUUUCUUCUUCUCCUUCUUCUUUUAAAUGUUUAUUUAAAAUGUUUAUUUUGAGAGAGAGAGAGACAGAGAGAGAGACAGAGAGGGAGAG